GCGGGCGUCGUAUAAUGGCUAUUAUGUCAGCCUUCCAAGCUGAAGACGGCGGUUCCCUGCCUGCCGGCA
rnacentral:tRNA from 1 species